rnacentral:rRNA from 1 species
UAGUGGCGAACGGGUGAGUAACACGUGGGCAAUCUGCCCUUCACUCUGGGACAAGCCCUGGAAACGGGGUCUAAUACCGGAUAUCACUCCUGCAGGCAUCUGCGGGAGUUGAAAGCUCCGGCGGUGAAGGAUGAGCCCGCGGCUCUAUCAGCUUGUUGGUGAGGUAAUGGCUCACCAAGGCGACGACGGGUAGCCGGCCUGAGAGGGCGACCGGCCACACUGGGACUGAGACACGGCCCAGACUCCUACGGGAGGCAGCAGUGGGGAAUAUUGCACAAUGGGCGAAAGCCUGAUGCAGCGACGCCGCGUGAGGGAUGACGGCCUUCGGGUUGUAAACCUCUUUCAGCAGGGAAGAAGCGAAAGUGACGGUACCUGCAGAAGAAGCGCCGGCUAACUACGUGCCAGCAGCCGCGGUAAUACGUAGGGCGCAAGCGNUGUCCGGAAUUAUUGGGCGUAAAGAGCUCGUAGGCGGCUUGUCACGUCGGGUGUGAAAGCCCGGGGCUUAACCCCGGGUCUGCAUUCGAUACGGGCUAGCUAGAGUGUGGUAGGGGAGAUCGGAAUUNCU